UCAACAUGGUGUAGUGGUUUGAGCACUGGACUAGGACUCUAGAGACCAGGGUUCGAAUCCUUGGGCAA